GUGCUCGCUCCGGCAGCACAUACACUAAGAUUGGUCCAGAGAAGAUGUGUGUGGCCCCUGUGCAAGGACGACACGCAAAUCUGCGAAGCGUUCCGUUUAAAA
ensembl:snRNA U6 U6 spliceosomal RNA